AUUGAACGCUGGCGGCAGGCCUAACACAUGCAAGUCGAGCGGAUGAAGGGAGCUUGCUCCUGGAUUCAGCGGCGGACGGGUGAGUAAUGCCCAGGAAUCUGCCUGGUAGUGGGGGAUAACGUCCGGAAACGGGCGCUAAUACCGCAUACGUCCUGAGGGAGAAAGUGGGGGAUCUUCGGACCUCACGCUAUCAGAUGAGCCUAGGUCGGAUUAGCUAGUUGGUGGGGUAAAGGCCUACCAAGGCGACGAUCCGUAACUGGUCUGAGAGGAUGAUCAGUCACACUGGAACUGAGACACGGUCCAGACUCCUACGGGAGGCAGCAGUGGGGAAUAUUGGACAAAGGGCGAAAGCCUGAUCCAGCCAUGCCGCGUGUGUGAAGAAGGUCUUCGGAUUGUAAAGCACUUUAAGUUGGGAGGAAGGGCAGUAAGUUAAUACCUUGCUGUUUUGACGUUACCAACAGAAUAAGCACCGGCUGACUUCGUG
rnacentral:rRNA from 1 species